GCUGUCCUGGACCUACCAGCAGCACAGAUGCAGAUGCUCUGCUCUGCCUGUAACAUCGGGGAAAAGUCAAAGUGGUUAUUUCCACACUCAAUAUUCGGAAAACAGUAAACAACAAGAAUGGAGAAUAGCCUGACAUUU
rnacentral:snoRNA from 2 species